rnacentral:rRNA from 5 species
ACAGGGAUUGCCCUAGUAACGGCGAGUGAAGCGGCAACAGCUCAAAUUUGAAAUCUGGCGUCUUUGGCGUCCGAGUUGUAAUUUGCAGAGGGCGCUUUGGCAUUGGCAGCGGUCCAAGUUCCUUGGAACAGGACGUCACAGAGGGUGAGAAUCCCGUACGUGGUCGCUAGCCUUUACCGUGUAAAGCCCCUUCGACGAGUCGAGUUGUUUGGGAAUGCAGCUCUAAAUGGGAGGUAAAUUUCUUCUAAAGCUAAAUACUGGCCAGAGACCGAUAGCGCACAAGUAGAGUGAUCGAAAGAUGAAAAGCACUUUGGAAAGAGAGUUAAAAAGCACGUGAAAUUGUUGAAAGGGAAGCGCUUGCAGCCAGACUUGCCUGUAGUUGCUCAUCCGGGUUUUUACCCGGUGCACUCUUCUAUAGGCAGGCCAGCAUCAGUUUGGGCGGUUGGAUAAAGGUCUCUGUCAUGUACCUCUCUUCGGGGAGAACUUAUAGGGGAGACGACAUGCAACCAGCCUGGACUGAGGUCCGCGCAUCUGCUAGGAUGCUGGCGUAAUGGCUGUAAGCGGCCCGUCUUGAAACACGGACCAAGGAGUCUAACAUCUAUGCGAGUGUUUGGGUGUCAAGCCCGAACGCGUAAUGAAAGUGAACGGAGGUGGGAACCUUUCGGGGUGCACCAUCGACCGAUCCUGAUGUCUUCGGAUGGAUUUGAGUAAGAGCAUAGCUGUUGGGACCCGAAAGAUGGUGAACUAUGCUUGAAUAGGGUGAAGCCAGAGGAAACUCUGGUGGAGGCUCGCAGCGGUUCUGACGUGCAAAUCGAUCGUCAAAUUUGGGCAUAGGGGCGAAAGACUAAUCGAACUAUCUAGUAGCUGGUUCCUGCCGAAGUUUCCCUCAGGAUAGCAGUAACGUUUUCAGUUUUAUGAGGUAAAGCGAAUGAUUAGAGGCCUGGGGGUUGAAACAACCUU